rnacentral:rRNA from 1 species
UACGUAGGCAGCGAGCGUUGUUCGGAGUUACUGGGCGUAAAGGGUGUGUAGGCGGUUUUCUAAGUUUGGUGUGAAAUCUCCCGGCUCAACCGGGAGGGUGCGCCGAAAACUGGGAGACUAGAGUGCGGGAUGGGAGAGUAGAAUUCCUGGUGUAGCGGUGAAAUGCGUAGAUAUCAGGAGGAAUACUGGUGGUGUAGACGGCUCUCUGGACCGCCACUGACGCUGAGACACGAAAGCGUGGGUAGCAAACAGG